UAAACUUCUGAGGAGUUCAUUACAGCUCAAAUCAAUGUAAAAAUGAAAGUUACAAAGAGGAAAUACGAGAUACAAUAGUGUUGGCAGCAAGAACAGCCAACAUUCAGUAACAGUAGUACAACCUCCUUUAAACUCUAAAUCUUUAAAAAUUAAUUUGAAUAGCUCCAAAAUGAGUUGGUAAUGGAAGAUGAUGAUGGAUUAUACUGAAAAACAAUGGAAUAUGAGAAUUAUGGUUGGAGGAGACAUUAGAAAUUAAGUUAGCCGUCUAUGUCCUUGCUUUUCAAACUUUUGUAAAUUAUAUAGAACAAAUCUAGUACAUUAUAUUUCCUGUUUUUGAGUUUUUUUUUUCUUUUUCCAAUAAAGAUUUGACAGUUCAACCUAAGAUUUUGGGGCUUACAGAUUGCUUUGGAACAUAAUAAGUUGGAACUAAACAUUGCUUCUGAUGCAUAAACUCAUAUUGUACGUUGAUUGUAAAAUGCUUAUAAGACAACUUGUUAAUGGUUCUAUUUUUCAUGUUAGGCACAAUUUAAAUACUAAGAUUUAUCUGUUGUUCUAAUUCUCUUUCUUUAAUGGACCACAAAUAGUAAUAAUUAACGUUGUAAAUUAAUGGUAAUUUUAGAUAUUAAAUCGGUAAUUUAGUCAAAUAAAAAAAUGAAAACUUUUCGCUGUUUGCACACUUGAACAUUAUACACAAACUCCAAUUUUUUCCGACAUGUUACAAGCUUAUACAUAAACCACUCAAAAAAAAUUAAAUCAUGAGAGAAAAUCCUUCAAAAAAAAAAAAACAUAUUUCUUUCUCACUAUGCAACAAUAUGAUAUUAUGAAAGUCAGCAUAUACACACCCGACGUGUUACAAGCUUUUACGAAUAAAAAAUAUAUAUAUAAUAUUGUUAAUAUAUAAAAAUAUUUAGUUCGGUUACUUUUUAUUUAUAUUAAUCUUUGUCAAAGUCCGUCGGAGACUAAAUUGAUAGAAAAUGACUAAAUACUAAAAUUAAAUUGAUAAUAAGUUAUUAAAAUAAAAGAUAUAAUUAAUAUUAAGUGGCUAAAUAUAAAGACAAUGUGACAUGACAGUUUUAUAAAAUCAAAAAUUAUUUUCAAAUAUUUAUAAUUUCAAUAAUUUAUUUCAGAACACCUCAAAAUAACAGACUAAUUUAAUAUAUUAUUAGAGAAUCAACUAAUUAAGAGAGGAAAAAAUCAUUGCAAUUUAUUUUAUUUUUUUUUAAAUAAAUUACACAAAGUGACCCCUACACAACUUUGUCCCGGCUCUGUCUCUAUUGGUUCUAUCACCAUAUAAAUCCACCUUCAACAUUACUUUAUGUAACAAAACAAAGCAAAAAAAAAAAAAAAUUAAGUUCAAAUCUAGUAGUACAAAAGGGAAUCAAAUCAGUACUAGCUAUGCCUAAGCAUAUGAUAUAAUAAUAGUGUAAAACUAAACCGAACAAAUUACUUUAAUUAUUGGAUUGAUGGGUAGAUGAAGGAGAAAAAAAUUGAUUAUGCAUAAAUCUAAUUUUGAGCGAAUUGAUGGGUAAUUGAAAGAGAAAAAUGUCAUUUCAAGAGAAUUGAUUUUGUAGAACUCAUUUUAAUUAAAAGUCA
rnacentral:lncRNA from 1 species